rnacentral:rRNA from 1 species
GGGGAGACUUGCUCCUGGAGGUUAGCGCGAACGGGUGAGUAACACGUGGGCAACCCUGCCUGUAAGACUGGGAUAACAUCGAGAAAUCGGUGCUAAUACCGGAUAAUAAAAGAACUGCAUGGUCUUUUUGAAAGAUGGUUUCGGCUAUCACUUACAGAUGGGCCCGCGGCGCAUUAGCUAGUUGGUGAGGUAACGGCUCACCAAGGCGACGAUGCGUAGCCGACCUGAGAGGGUCGAUCGGCCACACUGGGACUGAGACACGGCCCCAGACUCCUACGGGAGGCAGCAGUAGGGAAUCUUCCGCAAUGGACGAAAGUCUGACGGAGCAACGCCGCGUGAGUGAUGAAGGUUUUCGGAUCGUAAAACUCUGUUGUUAGGGAAGAACAAGUGCCGUUCGAAAGGGCGGCACCUUGACGGUACCUAACGAGAAAGCCACGGCUAACUACGUG